GACGAACGCUGGCGGCGUGCUUAACACAUGCAAGUCGAACGGAAAGGCCCUGCUUUUGUGGGGUGCUCGAGUGGCGAACGGGUGAGUAACACGUGAGUAACCUGCCCUUGACUUUGGGAUAACUUCAGGAAACUGGGGCUAAUACCGGAUAGGAGCUCCUGCUGCAUGUUGGGGGUUGGAGAGUUUCGGCGGUUGGGGAUGGACUCGCGGCUUAUCAGCUUGUUGGUGGGGUAGUGGCUUACCAAGGCUUUGACGGGUAGCCGGCCUGAGAGGGUGACCGGCCACAUUGGGACUGAGAUACGGCCCAGACUCCUACGGGAGGCAGCAGUGGGGAAUAUUGCACAAUGGGCGGAAGCCUGAUGCAGCAACGCCGCGUGCGGGAUGACGGCCUUCGGGUUGUAAACCGCUUUCGCCGGUGACGAAGCGUGAGUGACGGUAAUGGGUAAAGAAGCACCGGCUAACUACGUG
rnacentral:rRNA from 1 species